UGAAAUGACUGAACAACAUAUUAGAACUAGAACAAUAUAGAGAUUAGCAUGGUCUCUAUGCAAGGACGAUAUGCAAAUUUGUGAAGCAGUCUAUAUUUUU
rnacentral:snRNA from 1 species